rnacentral:rRNA from 1 species
UACGAAGGGGACUAGCGUUGUUCGGAAUUACUGGGCGUAAAGCGCGCGUAGGCGGAUCGCUAAGUCAGGGGUGAAAUCCCAGGGCUCAACCCUGGAACUGCCUUUGAUACUGACGAUCUGGAGAUCGGGAGAGGUGAGUGGAAUUCCGAGUGUAGAGGUGAAAUUCGUAGAUAUUCGCAAGAACACCAGUGGCGAAGGCGGCUCACUGGCCCGGUACUGACGCUGAGGUGCGAAAGCGUGGGGAGCAAACAGG